rnacentral:lncRNA from 1 species
GGCGGUCAAAAAGGUCAUCCUCAGGCUGUUUGUUCUCCAUGAACAGCUGAAGAUUCUUAAAAACCCUCUUCUCAACAGGGACUUUGUUGUAGUAUCGGAUGGAGUCCUUCCCGAGGAAGUCAAACUCAACCACGUAUUCCUGGCCAUCCAGCUCAGGAUGCAGCUUGAUAUGUUCUACUCUCAGAGAGCAGCAGCCCACGGUGUCAGCUGUCUCCCCUUCUUCUUUUUCAUUACCAGCUCUCAGGGCAAGCUUAUCAAUGAAGUACAGUGCCACAGCCCUCUGCCGUACUUUCAUCUCUUUGGAUUUCCAAUCUUCUCUGUAUUGAUUUCGGAUUUUAUCUACGCACUUCUUCAACCUCCGGGCUGUCUCAUACUUUUGCCAGUCCUUCUCACCCUUAAUUCUUGAGCUAGGGUUCAACAUUAUGUAUUUGAUAGAGCCUUGGAUGUUCUCUGUCCAUGACACUAGCCAGGUAACCUUGUUAUCAUGCCGGACCUCCUUCCAUUUGUGUCCUGGUGGAGGGGGAGGGACCUUGGAAUCCUUGCUGCAGUUAAUGAUGAUGUCUUCUGGCAUGAUGCGUCUCUUCAACAUGCCCAUUUUGGGAUGGUUCCCCCGGCCUCGGAAGAGACCCGGAGGUUCGAUCUUAAAGUUAGCAAUCCUCUCUUUGUGGUUGUCCAUCACACAGUAACCAUAUUCCUUCAAUAGCCGCUCAUUCUCCUCUUUGAUUUUCUGUUUCUCCUCCUUGGACAUCUGUUUCCUAGCUUCCGUCUGAGCUUUGAAAUACUGGCUCAUGUGGGUGAAGUCACACUUGCUGAGGCUGGUGAUUGUGCUCUUCUCUUCAGAGGUCAUUUCCUUUCUCCAGUCCUUAAAAAAGUUUUUCCUGAAGAUCUCCUUCGUAGUGUAUUCAUGGUCGAGCAUUUUUGCAAAGAACGUGGCAACUUCUUCUGCUUUGGUGCUCAGCUUCAUGACUUUACCAUCGUAGUAAAACUUGACAUUUUCAGGCAGUGGUUCAUAUGGUGGAGCAAAUACAGGACCUUUAUGCUCUAGGAACUUCCAUUUAAUUCCUUCAGGGUAGCGUUCUUCUUCCCACCAUUUCCAUUUCUGCUCCUCUUCUUUUUUAGGCUUCUUUCUUUUGUCUGCUUCAGGGCUUUUCUUAUCUUUGUUCUUAGCUUUCUUUGCUUUGCUGUCCUCUUCUUCUUCUUGUUUCCUUUUCUUUGCUUUCUUUACGUCUUCUGUUUUGAUUUUCUUGGGUUUGUAGUCAGCGUCAUCGUCUUCUCGAGGCCUCUUCAGCGGUUUGGAGUCCUCUUUAGGAGAAGCAUAAAACCCGUCAUCAUCUGGUUCAUCUUUAAUACGUGGUGGACUGGAGAAACCAUUUUCCUUUUCCUUCUUUAUUUUUAUAUCACCAGAAGAUAAUUUAAUCUUUUCUUCCUUUCUCUUCUCCUUGUCUUUGUCUUUGUGUUUGUCUUUGUGUUUCUCUGAGCUGCCAUCUUUGUGUUUGGUUUUCUCCUUGUCUUUAUGUUUCUUUUCCGAAGAGUCUUUGUGCUCGCUAUUACUGUGCUUGGACUUUUCCCGGUCUUUUUCCUUGUCCUUCUUGUGCUCUUUGUGCCGGUGUUCUCGGUCUUUGUGUUUAUCUUUGUGUUUGUGAGAAUCGUUGGCUCGGAAAUCCGCCUCGAUCUGCGGGGAGAGGAGACAGGGAGAGGCCGUGAGAAACGCCGAAGACGGAGGGGGGGGCCGCGUGCGUUUAGCGAUGUACCCGCGGAAGGGGCGGCGGGCCCGGAGCCCCCCUUCUCUUUUUGUUUUUUAUUUAUUUUUUUUUCUUUUUUUCCUCUCUCCCAGGAAAAUGAAACACCGAAGGAGAGGCAGCGGCACGAUGCGGAACGCAGCCCCGGGGGGGGGGUUGGGGGGGUGUUCAGGCCGCCGUACAGCCGGGCGGGGGGGCAAAGCAGAAAGAACCGGCAACCCCCCCUCAGGGAACCUCACCCCCCCAUCCGAGCGGCACCGACCGGCACCGGGGGCAGCGGGUCCCAGCGGGUCCGGGCGGCCACGCCGGGCUGACAGGGAUCCCCCACCCGUGCGCGGCCCCCCCCGGCGGGAGCUGAGGUGAAGCGCCUCCUCAGGGCCCACCGCGACGGGAAGGGACGAAGGGCCCCGCGCCGGGCUCCCCCGGGACUCACCUGGGAGUCGUUGUGCAGCUGGUCCCCGCUCAUGCCGGAGGGUGCGGGAGAGGCCGAGCCGAGCGGAGCGAAGCGGGAGGAGAGCGAAGCGGAGAGGAGCAAAACUGAGCUGAAGCCGCCGGGGACGCGCGGAGCGGGGACGCGACGCAGAGCGCAGCCCCGGGCUCCUCAGCGGUUGUGUAACAGACACUAAGUCCUGGUUUCGGCGCACUGCGCAGACGCGGUGCCUCUUACCCGCGGGGCGGAGCCAAGGCACUGCUAAGCGGAACGCUGGGACGGGCGCCGGGAAACGGCAGUUGGAAUAUUUGCAUAGAAGCCCCGCCCCGGCGCCCCGAUUUAUUUGCAUACAGGCCACGCCCCCCACCCGGCCACUCCUCCGAACGCAGCCGACUCGCCGGCUGCCACCCGCGCGCUCGUAAAACACACGUAGUCCCGCCUCUUCCUCCCUGUCCUCCAAUCGCGCGAAACGACCUUACCCUUCAUUUGCAUACUUAACUCCGCCCCGGCGCUCCCUUCCCCGCCUCGGAAGGAGCCCGGAGCAUUGUGUAAGAAGCCGUCCCCCACUGUGCGCGGAGUCCGCAUGCGCCCCACCACACCCUGCCGGCGGCCGACUAAAUUUGCAUGGCGAGCCCCGCCUCCCCGCCCUCAGGCCACGCCCCCGUCCUGUCAGGGGAGCAUGGCGGCGCCCAGGCGGCGGGGUGUCCUCUUCUCAGAGCCCUUCGGAACUGGCACAGUGCGGUCGCACUGUGGGGGCUUCACGGGAGCUGCUGCUGUACAGGCAGGCAGCUGGAUUUCCUUGGCUGCCGCUGGGGCCUAGCAGGUCUUUCCCAGCCUAGGCAAGCGUGGUUGAGCUGUGGAGCAGGGGGCACACGAGGAGCGGUGCAGGUGCUGGGGGUCGAUUCGGCCUCCUCACAUCCCCUGUGGUGCUGUGGUGCUGGGAAGUGGUUAGGGCCGUGUUUCUGCCAGCCUAGUCAGUGCAGCGCAGCCCAGGCUGGGCUACCCCCUUGUAGUUCAUCUCCCCUCAGGGCACACCGCUGUGCUCUGAGCGGCUGCUCCCUUACAUGGGCUCUCUGCGGGAGGAUCUUGAACUGCGCUGAGCCACGCUCCCACAGACCCCUCACAAACGCUCUGAGGCACAGUCUGAUUUUAAGUGUCUCGAAACGCUGCUGCUGCCGGAUCCCUUGGGCAGGAAAUGAGCCGUGCUCGCUGCGCACAGCUGGCCUGCAGGGAGCCUGAGCGUGCGACCCACCUUCCGCUGCUUGUCUGUGCGAUCGUGUCGGGCUGGAAUGCAGAGGCUGCAGCAACCCUGCAGAGACUGCACUGUGCGAAGUGCUGUACACAUGCCCUGCAUCCACAGGCAGCUGGCGCUGAGGGGGAUGCAGAUCAGAUGGAUUUGGGCCGACGUGAAAGUCAAGGACAGCAAGGCUGCACUGCAUAUGAGAGCUUUCUGCUUUAAAAAGGGGGAUCAGCCAUUGCGGUUCUUCUUCCAGUGUAAACAGGCCUUUUAUUUUUCUCUCAUGAGGAAAUGGAAACUAAAAAGGAAACAAAAGCUGUAUCUUCUUUCAGCUAAUGUGAGGAUGAAUCACACGCCUUCCUAUGAGAGCAAUCCCCUGCCCCAACCUGAAUCUGAAGGCAUCUGCUUCUGUUCUGCAGCAGCCCUGCUGAACUGAGAUCCUUUUCGAUGCACUAAAUGGCAGCUUUAGUAUGCGUGGCUGGUGCGUGUCUCACAGGACUGCUUCCAAUCUUCUUGCAGCUACCAUCCUGUGCUGCAACACAGACUGUACCUUUCCUCAGCUUCUUUACACAUCCUGAGCUUUGAUUUGAUGCUAAAAUAAUCCAGCUCUGCCAGGCUAUCUGAAGAGAUGCAUCAACACGUAAGCAGAGACAGCAGCCACCUAUUUGCACUGCAUAUUUAUAUCCCGUAGAGGGAAAACUCUGUCGCUUUCUUGCAGUCUUCAGAAGAGGAUCUGAGGACUUCCUUUUAUACUGAGAGCAGGCAAAUAUUUCUGUAUUUAGAUGCGUUUAUUAUGCAAAGUGCUUCAGUCACUGUUAGGUCUUUAAAUAUAAAUGUAAUGGAAAGGCUGUUUCAGACACCUCUCCUGUUGGAAGAGGUGUUUGCCCCUAGCUCACAGGAAUAAGGUGACACACAGAGGUAUAGGGGCUGUAUCUUGUGAUGUGUGACAGCCUGAGAACAGCCUCACACCUCCCGCUUUGGGCAUUAAAAGGUCCUAAAAGCCUUAAGCAACAGUUUUGUGUUAAAGCUUAAAUAUCCCCAGGGCCCCAAAGAAACCUUGCUCAGGUGGCCUUGCAUGAAAAGGAGCUGCUGCAACACCCACCGUGCUGCAGCAAGCUGUGAUCGGAGGAAAGGACCACUCCUCUGUAGCAUCUGCCAUCUUCAGGGGCUUUUGCAGGCACACUUCUGGGUGCAAAAGGGAGUCUCCAAACUGGCACAAGAGGCUCAGCACUGUGCUCUGCAAGACUCUGCUGACAGCCAGCCAGAUGAGCUCUGAAUGUAAAGGGAGCUGCCCAGUUUC